AAAGUCAUGUUGAGCUUGUUUUCUUUAAAAGUUCUUAAGUACUUUUACAAAAUUAGUCAACGAAUUCAAAAGUAACUUUUGGCUUUUCCUAUGUCAUGCCAAACUGACUCUUAAUCAUGAUUCAUAUAUGGUUUGUUUCCUCGGCUGACAAGCGUUGAUGCUUUUUAGAGGAGAUGGUGGUGAAAGUGGUGCCAGAAGUUUUGCUCCCAACUUAUGAAUUUAGGGAAUUGAUGUUUGUACAGCCCCUCACAAGUGGGGGGUUCGCAAAUUUUUUAUUGCGCGUGGGCCCCUCGAGUUGUGAGAGGACUGUAAAUGGUGCUGUGUGCAUAGCAUCGCCCAUGAAUUUAAGACUAUACUUGAAGGGCGGGGUUGUGCACACAGCACGAUGUACAGUACCGUUUAUAGUCCUCUUACAGUUUGGGGGGUCACGCGCAAUAAAAAAUUUGCGGACCCCCCCACUUGUGAGGGGAUUGUAGCCUGAGCUGUAUAGCUCGAGCUGUACAAACAGCAAUUCCCAUACUUGAAACCUUACCUCUACACUACCAACACUGACAGUUGGAGCCUUGAGGGAUAAUUAAACCACCUUGAUUAGGUUUGUUUUUCAUAUAACUAAGUACCUCAACAGUGUAAUCAUUGUACAUAACAAUUACAUUGUAACAUGUUAAAUAUAUUCAAAUUUUAUUAGUCAC
rnacentral:lncRNA from 1 species